CCAUUCCUUCACUGAGCCGAGGGUCGAUUGGAAACAGCCUCUCUGCCCUUUCGGGUAGGGGUAAGGCCCGUCUACAUAUUACCCUCCCCAGACCCACCUUGUGGGACUAUACUGGGUAGUUGUUGUUGCUGUUGGUGUUGCCUCAAUAAUUAACUUCCCUCUUCUUAACGUGAUUUAAUAAGACCUAAAAAGUAUAUGCAAGUCAUGCUAGUUAUGUGCUUUUGUUUAGGGAGUGUAUAUACGCCUUUAUCUGUUUAUAUGUUUCCCCAAACAUUGCGGUAUGUGUUUAAUAUGUCACCUUAGAUUUUUAUCCUUUGAAACCAAUUAGCCAAAUAUCCCUUUCCUAUAGGAGUAGUAUUCCUGAGUGCAUCCGGGACCAAUAGGAAUGGGAAGGGUAAUAGCAUGCAAUAGUAAUCGAGACCAAUCCGCGAUUCAAUACCUUAACGGGGUGAUAAAGGUAGAUAUGGAUAUGACCGGUGCGCUAAUGCCACGUGUAAUCCUUCUUUUGAGGAGUGAUUACCGGGUAUUGCAUUGAUGUGAUCCAUAUAUUUUUUAUAAACCUAGGACCCUCUUCCUUUGUUUCCCUUUUCUUUUAAGCAUUAUAACUCCUUAUUUAAAAUCAGCUCUUUUAAUUGCUCCAUGCAAACUUCAUUUACUUUCAAACCAUUGUGUAUUGAAAUACCCUCUCUUUUUUUUCGUUUUAAACCCUAUAAUGGGAUUUUUUUUAUUUUUUUAAAAAAUUUAACAGUUAGCUUUCAUUGAUGUCAAAAAAGUUUACAAUGAAGAGUUUAUAGUAGUAGUAUGGACUAACCACUACUUUCCGGUUCAACACUAUAAAAAUACAUGAAUUUGCAACCUAAAGCUAAGGGUAAUGGUUAAGUUGUUGCUGUCCAGUUUGCCAACGCUUACAGUUUCUGUCGCGAAUAUGAAUAAGCAACGCACCUCGCGACAGAACUAGUUCUCCUCUAAAGCUUUCCCUUCAAAUCUAAUAUAGUUCCUAUUUCUCCAAAUAAGUGCAACAGUGGUCACA
rnacentral:lncRNA from 1 species